CUCUGUCCCUCAGCCGCCACCGCACAAAGCCACCUCUCCCUUGCGUGUGCGUGCUCAUCGCCGCCUUUCCUCCCCGCUCCCUAUCAUUGCCCCGACGCCUGCACCGGCUACCAUGGAUCCAUGGCCGAUGGGAUAGUACAGGGCAGGGAAGGACACCGCCAUCGACCCGUCACUUAGAUUGGUGGCACAUGGGUCGGGUCUAGGCAGAAGGCCGGCGCCUGCGGGGGGGAAGCAGCGGGAGAUUGUGCAGCAGGAGCAGCAGGAGCAACUGCAGACGCUGGUCAGCCCGACGCACCGCCUCAGCCCCGCCUCCUCUGCUGCAGCCCCCACGGCCGAGAGGGGCAGCUGCGCCAUAGCUGGCGACGAGUUUAGCGGCCGCCGCCUCCUCUCCUCUUCGAAUCCAGUGCCUAUGGGUUCUCCUCGGUUGGAUUGUUCAUCCUUCUUCGCCGGUGGUGUGCUUGUCUGUUGCAAUAACUUACGUGCGCUGGAUGAACACUAUCGGUUGAGGUUUGUUUCUUCUCGUUGUCUCCUGCGUCCACCGUCGCAUCGUUCUGCCAUUGCCAUUGAGUCCUUUGUCUAGCCUGCUUUCUUGGUAUGGUUCUGCUUUCUAGCUCUGCAGGUUCGACGAUCUGCUAGGUUGCUGCAUCUGCAACUCUGUGCUGCUAUUCAAGGAAGAUGCUAAAUAAGUUGGUUAGCUCUGGGGCAAAAGGUCAGCAAAUCUGCUUGGUUGUUCCUCCCAAGGUGAUGAGAGAUUUUUUGUUGCAGAGUACAUGCCUAGAAAGACAUAUCUUCCACUGUAUGUUAACUGCUUGUGAGCAGGCCAGUACUUUACAAAUUUUACUACAGUAGCAAGGACGCUAUGCUUUGAAUAGUUGAGACGCCCUCUGUUUUUCAUCCAUGGGCAGAGUAGAUGGAGGUGCAGCGGCUCAGGAUGUCAAGAUACAUUUAUCUUCCUGUGCGUAACUGAUGUCUAGCAUUGCUGAAAACACCUUUAUCAGAGCUGGUGUCCAUGCCUUCAUCAUAGCUGGUGUCCGCAUACUUCAUCAGAGAUCUUGUCCACGGCUUCAGCGGAGUUGCUGUCCACACUUCCAUCAGAGCUAAUGUUCACGGGAUCAUCCAUGCGAGCAAUGGCGGAGCUACGUGUUACAAAAAGAGGCCACGGCGUCUCGCCGGUAGCAAAUGAAGUGGAGGAUUGAGAGUAGGCUGAGCUGUGAGAGAGAAAAAUAAUGGAUUCCUUUCUACUGGCACGCCCACCUUUGUACUGGCACGCCCACCUUUGACAGUGUAGCUCCGCCACUGCAUGCGAGCUCCCCUCAUGCUCAGCUGUGGUGGAAGCCUAAAACAACAUAGAUUAUCAAUCAACACAGACUAAUCAAGUCACAUUACUGUGACGAUGUGUAAAUCUGCCAAAGGUUUUGAAUGGGACUUUACACCACCAAAUUAGAAUGUGUACAAGACCCCAUUUUUUCGACUAAAGGAGAUUAUGUUUAUUAUAAUA